GGGUGGGGAUUUUAAGGAACACAAUCCAAACCUGCAUGGGGAUAUAUGGAAACCUGAUUGGCCCAGUUGAGAAGCUGUUCUGUACAAAACCUCCUGAAUGUGUGGGUGGUAGAGGGUGUUGUUCUCAGAUACCCUGGAUACACACGUUUUGUGCCAAUCUUUUGUUUUGGGGAGUUGGCCAAGCACUCCCGUCCCAAGGAGGAAUCUGUAGGGAGCAGCUCUGUUUGCUGUCUCCUUCGCUGUUAGUCAACUGUGAGGUCACCUUUAGAGUGACUCAUGCAUUGCUCUUAUCAAUUGAACUUUUUUUUAUCAAUUGGACAUUGCUGGUGAGGCCACUGCAGCUCCCUUCAGCUGUGUUCAGCUGGGGAGUGAAGUGGGCUGGGCAGAGCAUCAGCAUAGUUUCCCAGGGAGUUUAACAGGGAGGGACGGGUUAGGGUAUCCUGUCAUUGUUGGGAGAGACCCGAGUGAGCCAGGGCAUUUUAAUGGCUGUGUUUUGUUGUAGGAAGGUGUUGUCUGGUUAGUUAGUGUCUGAUCUGUUUCUGCUUGGGCUUAGUGUUAAAGUACAGAGAGAGGGAGAGGCUGUGUGUGUCACAAGGAGGAGUCCGAUGUAAGAUGAGGUUAUAGAUGAAGUGGUUGGACAUUGAUCAGGGUUUAUGGAGUGGGUGGAAAAUGCAACAGGAGUUUUGUUGUCUUCUUGGAUGUCUCUACAGUCCCUACUGUCUCUACAGCCUUCUGACUGGAAGACGUUGCAUAGAAAGGUGAGUGGAACAAUGGAACUAAAGACUACACUCAGAAAAACAACUUGGUAUCUAGAACCUAAAAGGGUUAUUUGUGUGAAAGGUUAUACCUGGAUUGAAACCAUAAAGUGUACACCUAUCGGGGACAGCCGAAGAACAGAACCCUUUUACAUUUUUUUUUGACUAACUCAUAUACUCAGCUUGCUCACAGUGACAGACUAUGCCAUUCUAUUGGUUGACUCACAGUGACAGUCUAUGCCAUUCUAUUGGUUGACUCACAGUGACAGACUAUGCCAUUCUAUUGGUUGACUCACAGUGACAGACUAUACUAUUCUAUUGGUUGACUCACAAUGACAGACUAUGCCAUUCUAUUGGUUGACUCACAGUGACAGACUAUGCCAUUAUAUUGGUUGACUCACAGUGACAGACUAUGCCAUUCUAUUGGUUGGCUCACAGUGACAGACUAUGCCAUUCUAUUGGUUGACUCACAGUGACAGACUAUACUAUUCUAUUGGUCUGUGCGUAUAACCUAUUAUUUUGUGUAGGGCGAUCUGCGAGCAUAUUUGCUGGCUUAGAAUAUCAGAACCCCAGAAAUUAUUUGAGAAGGCCUGUAAAAUCAAUUCUAAUCAAGCCAAAUACUGCAAUUCAUUGUGUAUCUUAACUUUUAUAAAUUAGAUUUGCAUACAAUGCUAAGGUAGUGAUAGUUGAUAAGAUGACAGCACUCCUGAUUGAGACUGGCAGUGUGUCUGUACUGUAUGGUAAAUGAUAUGGGAUGAGUUGGAGCUGUGGGACCCUGGCGGAGGCCUCUAGGUGUGUAGAGUUGGUCAUUGCUCCUAUCUGUUUACACAGUACGACUGAAUAAUUGAUGAUGUCUACUGUCUCUGUAUGUAGAGCAGGAUGAGAUCAUCAGGAUGCAGCGUCUCUCCUGAAUAAAACGAGUGCUGCAUAUGACCAACGUCAGAUCCUAGAUCCUAGAUCCUAGAUCCUAGAUCCUAGUGUAGUGGGAUUUUUGGCGUAUCAAGGGCAGCAACAGUUGGGUACUGGAGGAACACAGAGACAGUGAGGAAAGUGUGUGUGCGUGCGUGUUCAUGCGUGUAUGUGCGUGUCUGUUAUCUUUAGGUGAGGGCAUUUUCGGAGAUCAGUUUGCAGUUCGGUUGUUUCCUGAAUAUUUCCUCGACCUGUACUCGAGUGCCUGCAGUCAGAGAGAUGUGUAGGCAGCACAUUGAGUGUUUAUGAUGAAUAGCUGUGGUGCUGCCUUGGGUUCUGAGAUAUUGAGGACCUGUCCUUUACUGCAGUGGAAUUUUACUGUGACUAGCUGGGAGCUGUAGCUGUGGCCCCCUUAUUUUACCACUGCCCCCCUCCCCCACUCCCUCCCCUGUCCUGCCCUGCUCAGCAUCACUCUGUCUAGCGCCCUACCCAGUGACGUUUAAUCACCUCUCAUCUCAUCCCCUCCUCUCUAGCAACUCGGUCUACACAGGAAAGCACUACUGGUUACAUUCACAGGAAUGGCAUGAUAUUACACAGGUCUAUCAGCUGUUGUAAAAGCAUCGUCAUGUUACCCUUUGUUCUGGAAUGUGCUGCCAGAUUUUCCUGGCUGCUGAUCACCCUCACGUAUGACUGUCUCAUCAUAGCACUGAGUUGCUCUCUUGGCUUCAUGAAUAUUCAAAUCAGGGUUUUAUUAUUGGCUUUCUGUCUGCAUGGCAACUCGCAAAUCCGCCUUUGAAUAUUAGAUGAGAUUGAUAAUACACUCUAUUUUUCUCUUGAAGUGGAGUCAACCUCUUGUGUAAUAAUAAUAAUAAUUAUAAUAAUACAUGCCUUUUCCCUCUAUUACCUCAAAUCAAAUAAAAUGUUAUUAGUCACAUACACAUAGUUAGCAGAUGUUAAUGCGAGUGUAGCUAAAUGAUUGUGCUUCUAGUUCCGACAGUGCAGUAAUGUAAUCUAACAAUUCCCCCAAAACUACCUAAUACACAGAAAUCUAAAAGGGGUGAAUGAAAAUAUGUACAUAGAAAUAUAUGGAUGAGUGAUGGCCGAGCGGCAUAGGAAAGGUGCAAUAGAUGGUAUAAAAUACAGUAUAUACAUAUGAUGUGAAUGAUGUAAGAUAUGUAAUAAGAGGCAUUGUUUAAAGUGACUAGUGAUCCAUGUAUUAAAGUGGCCAGUGAUUGGGUCUUAAUUUAGGCAGGCAUCUGUCGUAAAGGUCACACCUGUACAAUUUACUCUCUCCCUCCAUCUUCAAUCACCUCUACCUUCUACUCCUGUAUUCUCCAUUUCUGUCUGCUUCUCUGUUUCCUCCUCACUGUGUCUCACUCUCUUCCCU
rnacentral:lncRNA from 13 species